AUGAGGUGGAGGACAUUUUGAAUUCCCAAACUUUAAUUUAUUAUUAUUUCUAGCUCGAACUUUUAAAAUUAUUAUAAUCAAGUUCUACGAUCUAAUUUUGUUUACUAAAUAUUAGCACAUCGUUAAUGUAAAGUGCUAUAGCAUAUUAAUUAUUAGUGCAUCAUCAAUCAUGACACCACUGUAUCACUUCCAUAAUAAUGAUACAUUAAUAUUUAAUCAAUUAAAAUAAGGUAUAGGACUUGAUUAUAAUAAUUUUUAAAAUUUAAAUCAGAAAUUAUAACAAAUUAAAGUUUGAGAACUAAAAUGUCAUGACGAAACGUGCAAUUUACCCUAAAUUUUGUUACUUAAAUACU
rnacentral:lncRNA from 1 species